rnacentral:rRNA from 1 species
AGGGCGCAAGGGGAAUGCCUUGGCACUGAGAGCCGACGAAGGACGCGACAAGCUGCGAUAAGCUACGGGGAGCCGCAAAUGGGCUUUGAUCCGUGGAUUUCCGAAUGGGGAAACCCGAUGGAGCAAUACUCCAUCAACCAUGACUGAAUACAUAGGUCAUGGUGGGGAACCGCCUGAACUGAAACAUCUAAGUAGGGCGAGGAAGAGAAAUCAACCGAGAUUCCGCUAGUAGUGGCGAGCGAACGCGGAAGAGGCCAAACCGGAGGUAGCAAUAUUUCCGGGGUUAGGACUGCAAUAUGUAACUUUAAUCUUUAACUGAAUGCUUUGGGAAGAGCAGCAAUAUAGGGUGAUAGCCCCGUAAGUGAAAAGGAUUGAGUGCUAGCAGUAUCCAGAGUACCAGCGGACACGUGAAACCCGCUGGGAAGAUGGGGGGACCAUCCUCCAAGCCUAAAUACUACUCAGUGACCGAUAGUGGAGCAGUACCGUGAGGGAAAGGUGAAAAGUACCCCGGGAGGGGAGUGAAAAAGAACCUGAAACCUUGUGCCUACAAGCACCGAGAGUCCGUUAAUGGAUGAUCGGGUACUUUUUGUAGAACGGUCCGGCGAGUUAAUAUUUGCAGCGAGGUUAAGGAACUGGAGUUCCGGAGCCGCAGCGAGAGCGAGUCUGAAAAGGGCGUAUGAAGUUGCAGGUAUUAGACCCGAAACCGGGUGACCUAUCCAUGAGCAGGCUGAAGCGGUGGUAAGACACCGUGGAGGGCCGCACCCACGUCUGUUGAAAAAGCCGGGGAUGACUUGUGGAUAGCGGAGAAAUUCCAAUCGAACUCGGAGAUAGCUGGUUCUCCCCGAAAUAGCUUUAGGGCUAGCGUUAUUUUAGAUUACCGGAGGUAAAGCACUGAAUGGUCUAGGGGCCGCGAGGUUACCAAAGCCUAUCAAACUCUGAAUGCCGGAUAAUUGAUGAAUAGCAGUCAGACUGUGUGAGAUAAGUCUCAUAGUCAAAAGGGAAACAGCCCAGAUCUACAGCUAAGGUCCCAAAUGAACACUAAGUGGAAAAUGAUGUGAAACUGCGAAGACAACCAGGAUGUUGGCUUAGAAGCAGCCACUCAUUCAAAGAGUGCGUAAUAGCUCACUGGUCGAGUGGUUUUGCGCAGAAAAUGUAACGGGGCUAAGUGUUCAACCGAAGCUUAGGCAUUGCAGUAAUGCAUUGGGUAGGGGAGCGUCGUAUGCGGGGCGAAGUCAGAGCGGAAGCACUGGUGGACUGCAUACGAGUGAGAAUGCCGGAAUAAGUAGCGAGAAUUAUGUGAGAAUCAUAAUGGCCGAAAAUCUAAGGUUUCUUGGGGAAGGUUCGUCCGCCCAAGGUUAGUCGGGAGCUAAGCUCAGGCCGAAAGGCGUAGGCGAUGCACAUACGGUAGAAAUUCCGUAACCACCGAACAUUUAAGCUAGAGGGACGCUUUCUUUAAGGUUAUCCCGGGCGAUGGUUGCCCCGGGCGUAAGGGACCGAAAUAUAGUAGGGAAGUAACUGGCGAGAGAGACGAGAAAAGCUCUAGUGUAUACUAAGGUGCCCGUACCGCAAACCGACACAGGUAGAUGGGAUGAGUAUUCUAAGGCCAACGGGAGAAGGGUUGUUAAGGAACUCGGCAAAUUGGCCCCGUAACUUCGGGAUAAGGGGCGCCUGCGAGAGCAGGCCGCAGUGAAAAGGCCCAAGCGACUGUUUAGCAAAAACACAGCUCUCUGCUAAAUCGAAAGAUGACGUAUAGGGGGUGACGCCUGCCCGGUGCUGGAAGGUUAAGGGGAGUGCUUAGCGCAAGCGAAGGUGCGAACUUAAGCCCCAGUAAACGGCGGCCGUAACUAUAACGGUCCUAAGGUAGCGAAAUUCCUUGUCAGGUAAGUUCUGACCCGCACGAAUGGCGUAAUGAUCUGGGAGCUGUCUCAACUGCCCGCCCGGCGAAAUUGUAGUACCGGUGAAGAUGCCGGUUACCCGCGACUAGACGGAAAGACCCCAUGGAGCUUUACUGUAGCCUAAUAUUGGAUUUCGGUAUUUCACGUACAGGAUAGGUGGGAGACUGGGAAGCACAGGCGUCAGCUUGUGUGGAGUCGACCUUGGGAUACCACUCUUGGAGUGCUGGAAUUCUAACCUGCGGCUUUGAAGCAAGUCGGGGGACAUUGUUAGGUUCUUGCGUCAGAUUGCUGCAUACCGAAUUGUUCAGGUGCGGCAAAGCCUACAGUUCCUAAAGUCUGGGUGUCAGAGCGUUGAUUAGAUUUAUAAAUUUUAGAAAUAUCAAAAUCUAUAAUCUUGACAUUAUUGUCGUCACAUAUUAUAAUAUUAUCAGGCUUUAUAUCACGGUGAACGAUGCCGCUGUUGUGAAGAGCAUACAAUCCCUGGCAUAUGGAGCAGGUAAUGUUCAGGGCGUCGUGUUCUGCCAGUGUUUCGCCGUUUGCAUAAUCCGUAAGAGUCAUGCCGUCGCAGAAUUCUUCAUAGAUAGUAUACGCUUCAGUGCUUUCGGAGAUCUCGUAGAUACGGCAAAGAUAUGGAUUAUUUAUCGAUGCGAGCCUUUGAUAUACAGAAACGUCAGCAGGCUUAUAGAUAAUGUGCCGCACCAUUUUUACACCUGUGUCACUCUCUAAAAUGACUUUUUCGU